rnacentral:rRNA from 1 species
UACAGAGAGUGCGAACGUUGUUCGGAAUUACUGGGCUUAAAGCGCACGUAGGCGGCGCCGCAAGUGCGGGGUGAAAUCCCACGGCUUACCCGUGGAACUGCCUUGCAGACUGUGGUGCUAGAGGAUGGUAGGGGAGAGCGGAACUCCAGGUGUAGCGGUGAAAUGCGUAGAUAUCUGGAGGAAUACCGGUGGCGAAGGCGGCAUCCUGGACCGGCAUUGACGCUGAGGAGCGAAAGCCAGGGGAGCAAACGGG